UUAAAAUAAGGAGGAUUUUAUAUACUUGAAAAAAUAAAAACUUUUCAAUAAUGUGAUGGUUAAAGGUACAUGCGACAACAACCGAGAUUUUCAAGCCAACAUUGAUAAACCAGGCGAAAUCUCGUAAUUAGGAUUAAGGAAAAAGAAUGAGGCUUAAUACGUUCUUAUGCCAAGAAAAGGAACUGCAAGCUUGAUACUACCUUAAUGACUGGUGAGCUACUUUUGUUGGUUAUCUGUGACACUUUCUUGAUGGGAAGUUCAUCGUAGGUCUUAUUGAUAUUGAUUUGGAAUAAACUAAUCAUAAAGAAAAGAAUUACUAUAUAAGUUGCAUUUUAUAAAUUAGGAAAAAAAUCAUGUUUAUUAAAUUUUAGAUGAGAAUUGCCAAAGGCACUGAGAAAUUUACCGACUUGAGAGAAUUGAGGAGCCUUUGGUGAUUUCAUCUUCAUCUAAUAAAUCAAAACAAUUGGAGUUCAUAAAUUAGGAGAAAAUAAAAUUGAAUAGAGUGGAUUUUGCAUGCUUGAAAGAACAAAAAAAAAAUUCAUAUUUAAGACAAUUAAAGUAAGAAAUUGAGAUAAAUAAGGCUUAUCUAUUAAACCCUAGCGUGACCCUUGAAGGCAGCCAUAGUUGGGUCGCAAAAAGGUACACAUUAGGAGCCAAAGGCUAGGAGAGAAGGAGGGAGGCAACAUACAAGCUUGAUUGGCUUCUAAAGUCAUUGAUCUGAGAGCAAAGAUCGACAUUCCCAACCUUAUUUAGCUUUGAUUUCAUUUUCUUCAUCAGGGACAAGGAGAGAAGAAUGAAGGGCUUGGCCAAAUGAAUCUCCGAUUAUAUCCCAAAUCGAAUUGAUCAGUGGGAGCCGACCAAUGAAAAACAUGAUGAUUUUGCAUAAAAAAUGUGUUGGAUCAGUUUUAUUUUAGCGUUCAGUGUGAGAACUGUGGAGGGCAGAAUAGACGGGAGAGAAGAGAGCAUCGUCAAAGGUUGAAUGGCAUUGAGAAGAGAAGAAAGAAUUGGCUCAAAGUUAAAA
rnacentral:misc_RNA from 1 species